rnacentral:rRNA from 1 species
CUUUUGAUUUGUAUUUAAGGUCUAGCCUGCUCAAUGAGUUUUAAAUAGCCGCAGUAUCUUAACUGUGCAAAGGUAGCAUAAUCAGUAGUUUUUUAAUUGAAAGCUGGAAUGAAAGGUUGAAUGAGAAAAUAGCUGUCUCUAUAAAAAUUUUAUAGAAUUUUAUUUUUAAGUCAAAAAGCUUAAAUAUUAAUAAAAGACGAGAAGACCCUAUAGAGUUUUAUAUUUACUUGCAAGAUAAUCCUUUUAGAAUUUUAAAAUUUAUUUUUUAUAAUAUUUGGUUGGGGUGAUUAGAAAAUUGAAUAAACUUUUCUUUUAUAGGAACAUUUAUUUAUGAAAAAAUGAUCCAUUUUUAAAGAUUAUAAGAUCAAAUUACCUUAGGGAUAACAGCGUAAUUUUUUUUGAGAGUUCUUAUCGAAAAGAGAGAUUGCGACCUCGAUGUUGGAUUAAAAUGAAUUUUUGGUGUAGAAGCUAAA